rnacentral:tRNA from 1 species
GCCUUCGUGGUGCAACGGUAGCACACCUGGCGCGUAUUCGAGAGGUCCAGGUUCGAGUCCCGGCGAAGGCA